rfam:Proteus penneri ATCC 35198 genomic scaffold Scfld2, whole genome shotgun sequence.
AAUCGACAUUAAAGAUUCAUUUUGAGAGCCUUGUCCUACCGCAAGGUAAGCAUUCAUAUUGAGCUCUUUCAUUUGCUCUUCGCCAAUAACACGCGUAGAAACAUUUGAAGAGGAGUCUGCUAAUUGACGCGCUUGAGAAGCUAAAUAAGCAGCAUUACAGAUAUUUGGUGGCAUGUUUGCUAAAUCUUUACA